rnacentral:tRNA from 1 species
GGGGCUGUAGCUCAGUGGUAGAGCACUUGCCUAGCAUGUGUGAGGCCCUGGGUUCGAUCCUCAGCACCA